rnacentral:rRNA from 1 species
UACGUAGGGGGCAAGCGUUGUCCGGAAUCAUUGGGCGUAAAGCGCGUGUAGGCGGUCCGGUGAGUCCGCUGUGAAAGUCGGGGGCUUAACCCUCGGAUGCCGGUGGAUACUGUCGGGCUUGAGUACGGAAGAGGCGAGUGGAAUUCCUGGUGUAGCGGUGAAAUGCGCAGAUAUCAGGAGGAACACCAAUUGCGAAGGCAGCUCGCUGGGACGUUACUGACGCUGAGACGCGAAAGCGUGGGGAGCAAACAGG